UUGUGUUCCUGCUGUGCUCCUGCUCACUAACCCCGGGUGACUGGCUGGUCCUGGCUACGGCUCAUGACUAGACUGUUACUCGGCGUGGGUGGCAGUGCUCAAAUGUCGCC
rnacentral:pre_miRNA from 1 species